rnacentral:rRNA from 1 species
UACGGGGGGAGCAAGCGUUGUUCGGAUUUACUGGGCGUAAAGGGCGCGUAGGCGGUAGCACAAGUCAGUUGUGAAAUCUCCGGGCUUAACUCGGAAAGGUCAACUGAUACUGUGCGACUAGAGUGCAGAAGGGGCAACUGGAAUUCUCGGUGUAGCGGUGAAAUGCGUAGAUAUCGAGAGGAACACCUGCGGCGAAGGCGGGUUGCUGGGCUGACACUGACGCUGAUGCGCGAAAGCCAGGGAGCGAACGGG